rnacentral:rRNA from 1 species
UACGUAGGGUGCAAGCGUUGUCCGGAAUUAUUGGGCGUAAAGAGCUCGUAGGCGGUUCGGUAAGUCGGGUGUGAAAACUCUGGGCUCAACCCAGAGAGGCCACCCGAUACUGCUGUGACUAGAGUGCGGUAGGGGAGCGGGGAAUUCCUGGUGUAGCGGUGAAAUGCGCAGAUAUCAGGAGGAACACCAGCGGCGAAGGCGCCGCUCUGGGCCGUAACUGACGCUGAGGAGCGAAAGCAUGGGUAGCAAACAGG